rnacentral:rRNA from 1 species
UACGUAGGGGGCAAGCGUUAUCCGGAAUUACUGGGUGUAAAGGGAGCGUAGACGGUAAGGUAAGUCUGGAGUGAAAGGCGGGGGCCCAACCCCCGGACUGCUCUGGAAACUAUCAUACUGGAGUGCAGGAGAGGUGAGCGGAAUUCCUGGUGUAGCGGUGAAAUGCGUAGAUAUCAGGAGGAACACCGGUGGCGAAGGCGGCCUGCUGGACUGUAACUGACGUUGAGGCUCGAAAGCGUGGGGAGCAA